UUUAUGAACAUGACAGUCAAAUGGCUUUGUCAUGUUUUCAUUAUGACAUUUUACUCUCUCUGUGUUUUCCAGUACAAAAAAGUCAGAUCUUGGUGACUCUACCUGAAAAUUCUCAAGACAGCACUAUACACUACCUGUACAGCCAUUUGAAAACAACAGUUAAGUUACACAUUACUGUAUUUGGUGAGGUAACUGAGUACAAGACACACUAGACCAGGCUGUAUGUUUUACAUAUUUACUGCAUAUGCUCUUUGCAGUUCUACAGCAUUGUCCAAAAAAAACAACAGUCACUUAUUUAGGAAAACAUAAGAAAUACCAUAUUGUUAGAACUGUGCACAGAUAUAAACAAUAUAACAGUGCAUAUUACUGUAAACUGAACAUAAAUUAUUCCUGGAAAUUCACAGUGUUUCUCCCUACAUUUGGUUGCACCCGUCGACCAGCCUCAGCCAUAAUGAGGCCGUGAUUGACAACAUGGUCCACAAGUGUAGCCCUAAUUUCAUCAGGGAUUUGUUUAUCUACUUCACCUCUUCUUCCUCUGCCCCUGUUUUUUCCCUUACCCUUACCCUUCCUCCCAACAUUCUCACCCCUUCUCCUCGACGCUGUCACUGAUGCUCCAUUUUUGUGUCACAGAAUUGUAGAAAUGGUACACAGUAUGUCCUGCUUGGUUUAUAUAUGCUAGCAAAGUGAGGGUUCGUGGGAUUCAGCUCUGAGUGACUGUGGACAAGUGGCUUGUCAUUGGUUACAACUAAUUCUUCAUACAACUCCUCAUGAGUGAAGGCUGAGAUUUACCUGAGAGAAAUUGUCCAAUUUAGGAGACAUUUUCAGUAAAAAAACGAUAAAGGGAUGUAUGAAAUCAGCUUGACAGAUUUUGACAACUAGUUCAACAAUUUUGUAUGUAAUGACUCAAGCAAUGAAAUGAGGACUAUUAGUUUAAUAGGGAAUGACUAGUCAGCAUUAAAAAUUAUAGUUAAUUUUGUCCGACAUGACAUAAGCAAAUGAUAAUGUUAUAAAACAGCAGAGAAUUGAAUGAAAGUAACUCAUACAUGUCCAAGAGCAUUUGCAGUUUGAGAAAAACUGUAAGAAAUCACCAUUUGGUUGUUUUUCCUUAAUGUUGGUUUGCAUAGUAAAAAUGACGAUGGCAAUAUUUCACCACUUCUUUUUUCAUGCAUUAUGUCCCAUUUUAUUGAGAAUCAGAAGAAACUGAUCAUCUUUAUUAGAAUAAGAGAAAACAAACUUGCCAUUACUAUUUUAAACACAAGUAGGUCAGUCCUUAGUUUGAGGUCUGCCUUUGUCUAAAAACACACAAUCUUCAGUAUUUGCCAUCAUCAUAAUACUUGUUUUUCAUUUUAAUAUCUCCACCCUCACCAUCUGAGCCUCACCUUCAACUAUACCUUUUUGUAAGUCCACCUUUCUUUUUUAUAUUUUCACAUUUAGCACAUUUUUUAAUUUAACGAGUCCUUUUUCUAAUUGCUAAAAAGGUCACAACUGACCAAGGGAGGCAAAGAGAUAUGGAGGUCUAUAGUAUGAAUAACAUUAAAACCUUUUUUAGCAAAAGGCUCCCCAAUAACUUGUAUUUGUGUGAAUCUUUUAUUUUCAGUCCUUUUACAUUUUAUAAUCCAUUAACAAAUGGAAAAAAACAUCUGACGUGACAAACUGAGAAUGUAUUUGCUGAAUAAAAAAUAUCAAUAAUUUUCUUCACACUUUAAACAUAUCAAGUCCUGUAAUGGUAAAGCAUAUUCAAGCUCCUGCGAGGAACUUUUGUCCGUGCCCCCCCCUUUUUUUUGUUUGUUUGUCUGUUUUAAGAUAAGACAAACUUAUUGAUCCUCCAAGGGAAAUUCAAUAAAGGUAAUUUCAGCACCUCCUGUGGACUUCUCCGGUCCUCUACAUGCCUUAACAGUGUCUUACGAUGAAAAACAUCUCAUUCCACUGACUUCUGACUGUCAGAUGUUUCAUUUAUUUAAUCAAGGCUGUUUCUUCAGCUGUUCAAUUGACACCUACCCCACUAGCACCAGUUUAAAGCUUUCAAAAUUACAAAUGAAAAAAAUGUUAACUUUGUGAAUGGUAGUCUUCUUUGCCUUUGUAUUUCAUAAAAAGGCCUAAAUAUGAAUUUCAGACUAUUUCAUGCAUUGCAUGAUUUUCUGUCUAAAGAGCCCGUCUCUCAUUCACUUCAAUUAUUGAUGCCAAAAAUAACAACAACCUGAGUUUCCUUGGGGGGAAAAAAUGGAUAUAAAGUUAUUGCUUUGCUAUUUUAUUAUUGUACAUUUAAGUGUCAAGCUAAUGUAUACUAUUUUUAAUAUUAUGUGCUAAUGCAAAACUCCAUAUUUAAAUUCUUUAUUUCUGGCUCAAACUAGUAACUCAAAUAAGAUGAUGAAACAGUGCAGGAAGCAGUUAGAGAUGAUUUCAUGAAUCAUCACAGUUUAUUUCUCACUCAAGCAUUAAUUGGUUUAUUUUUUAAAUUUUAUUUACUGUGUCAUACGUAGUGUAAUAUUGCAUUAGUGCCAUGAAUCCCAGCAGGACAGCGGUAUGAAGGAACCCUGGUGUUGUGAAGAAGCCGUGUCUGACACUUCAGCGGCCUGAUUCACAACACCAGCUGACCCUCCACACCCUUACACACACACAGACACACACACUCACACUCCUGUAGUGGCACAAAGAGGCAGUGUGAAGUCAGGAGUUUAUCUUCAGUGAGUCAGCAAAGAAAGGAGAGACUGGCAGGGCGCCACAAGGUGUUUACAGUUUGCUCUCAGAGGGCAGCAGAAACAAAGAGCCAGACGGUACAAGGAUCUGAACAAUUAGAGGAAAUCAAUCGGCCUCAUUAUCAUUAACAGCAGCAGAAUACUUACCUCUUCAACCUCUUACUACUACCAUAUGACUGACUCCAGCUGCACGUGGUGAAGUGGUUUAUUAUACUAACUACUGACAGGAAAAUAAAGCUGAGAUCGGACAGACAGCAACCUGUGUGCUAUACUCUGUCUCCAUUAGGGGGCAGUCUCAACACAGCAACUUUCCUCUGCUUAACCAACUGGAGGGUGAUGGUGCCAGGGGGCUGCAAACCAGAACUUUACCUGGAGAAAAAAGCACAGAGCAUAGAAAUUAAUUCAGCCCAUUAAUACCUAAAUUAUAAAUUUACAAAAUAUCUUCCUUCUUCAUGAAUAAAUUAAGGUCAUCUAAUUUUGUUUGCCUUCAGUUUAUGCACUCUGAGGGGAGGUGGCAUCUGCAGGGGUGCAUCUAGACUUUUUGACUGAGUUGGGCCAACACUGGGGGCAUUAAGUGUGCACACAUGACCAAAUGAAUACUUAGCAUUUACAUUUUUGUCCUGCAACUUUUUCUGCCAACAUUAUCUGUAAAAGGCAUCUGGGAAUUGCAGGAAUUAUCAGUAAUAAAUAUGUGGAUGUGUAUUAAUUAUGACUUUCAAAG